GCAGUAGCCACGGUAAUACGGAGGGGGCUAGCGUUGUUCGGAAUUACUGGGCGUAAAGCGCACGUAGACGGCUUUGUAAGUUAGAGGUGAAAGCCCGGAGCUCAACUCCGGAAUUGCCUUUAAGACUGCAGAGCUAGCAGGUGAGAGAGGUGAGUGGAAUUCCGAGUGUAGAGGUGAAAUUCGUAGAUAUUCGGAAGAACACCAGUGGCGAAGGCGACAUACUGGUCCAUUACUGACGCUGAGGCUCGAAAGCGUGGGGAGCAAACAGGAUUAGAUACCCCAGUAGUCCCUGUCUCUUAUAA
rnacentral:rRNA from 1 species